CUUGAUGGAGCCCAUCCACACCGGGCUCUCGCGGUCCUGGCCGUAGGUGGACAGCACCGCCUGAGCCUC
rnacentral:antisense_RNA from 2 species